GCCAUUAUCAUUCCCACGCAACCACGUAAGAUUCACACAUUAUAAAAUUACGUUUUAAUCAUUUUAUUAAGAAAGGACUGAUGAAAUUCACGUCUAGUUUUUGCAAGCAAGAAAAAAAGUUGGCGAAGAAAUGGGUUCAUUUUAAUCUAAGCAAAGAGCUCAUCACGACAACCAUUUCUUCUUUGAAUAGGGGGGGUCGUUUAUCUUCGAAUUGUGUAUUAUGAGGAACGCAGAAUUAUUUGGGGAUAAAAGUAAAAUAGCUUUCACAAAUGUAUUAAAUUCACGUAUACGUGGUUUGUUUUCUUUUGCUUUCGUUUUAAUGUAUAAUUUAGCGAGAUGUGUUCACCGGAAUAACCCCGCCGCUAGUGGUAUGGCCCACUCCCCGCUGCUAGCGGUUGUUAUCUCUGGCUUUGCUAGUGAACAGAUUUCGGUACAAGCUAGCGGAACACUUGACUAUUAUCAAUCCCCGAAAAGAUGCUCCUCCGGCGGACCAAAACUGUCCUACACUCGGCAAAAAGUCCGGUGAAACUUUGUCCGACUGUGUCCCAACUUGACUGAAGAGGUAGCCCCCACAACGGUCUUCAACGAUGCACUUUCGAGGGGGGUGUUAGCAUUGUUUAAUCGGUCCGUAGUACUCCCUGCCGAAGACGACUCGACUGUCUUAUUCCUCUCAUUUUUCCCUUAAAAAUAUAUAUUUAUCCAAUUUCCUGGAGCAAGUCCUCGCUGAUGAAUUCACCGAAAAAGGACGCAGAUGAUGAUGUGCCCGUUAAAGACUCGAUCAAAUACGGCGAGCUGGUCAUUUUGGGGUACAAUGGCUCUCUUCCCAGCGGCGACCGCGGGCGCCGAAAGAGCCGCUUCGCCCUGUACCGACGCGCCAAGGCCAAUGGCGUCAAGCCCAGCGCCGUGCACAUCCUCAACACGCCGCAGGACAGCAAGGCUGUGCACAGCAGGGGGCAGCACAGCAUCUCCUUCACGCUGUCCCGCAACCAGACGGUGGUCGUCGAGUAUUGCCACGACAGCAACACCGACAUGUUCCAGAUUGGACGCUCCACAGAGAGUCCCAUUGACUUUGUGGUGACGGACACCUCUGGGGGUGUGAAGGAGGGCGAGGACCCUUCCAUAGCCCCCAGCACCAUCUCACGUUUUGCCUGCCGCGUGGUGUGUGAGCGCCACCCGCCGUACACGGCGCGCAUCUACGCCGCCGGCUUUGACUCCUCCAAAAAUAUCUUCUUAGGGGAGAAGGCGACCAAGUGGAAGAACCCAGACGGCCACAUGGACGGCCUGACCACCAACGGCGUGCUAGUCAUGCAUCCCGACGGCUUCCCCGAGGACCCCAAACAGGGUCUGUGGCGGGAGAUCUCAGUGUGUGGCGACGUCUACACCCUGCGGGAGACUCGUUCCGGGCCCUGCCGAGGCAAACUCGCGGAAGGCGAGAGCAGUGCUCUGCGCGACGGCUCACUCGUGGACCUGUGUGGCGCCACCCUGCUGUGGCGCACGGGCGAGGGCCUCAUGCGCGCUCCCACCCUGCGCCACCUGGAGGCGCUACGCCAAGAGCUGAAUGCGUCGCGGCCGCAGUGUCCCGUGGGUCUCAGCACGCUUGCCUUUCCCAGCCUGCCGCGCAGCCACAGCCUUGAAGAACGUCAGCCCUGGGUCUACCUCACCUGCGGCCACGUCCACGGACGCCACGACUGGGGCCAGAGGUCCGAGGGGGGCGAAGAAGAGCUGUUAGAAGGCGAGGGCUCCACCACGCGGCGCGAAUGCCCGUUGUGCCGCAGCGUGGGCCCCUACGUGCCCCUGUGGCUGGGCUGCGAGCCGGCCGUGUACGUGGACGCCGACGCCCCCACGUACGCCUUUGUGCCGUGUGGCCACGUGUGCUCAGAGAGGACAACCAGGUACUGGGCGGACACCCCGCUGCCCCACGGGACGCACGCCUUCAGAGCCGUGUGCCCCUUCUGCUCUGCCGCUCUUAGCACCCCCGGGUGGACGCGGCUCAUCUUCCAGGGUCCCAUCGACUAGCCGCGACACAAAGCUCCCUUCCUCCCUUUUUUUUUUUUUAACCGUAUGCAGCUCCUUCCCUUAUUUCUCGUUCUGGAUUUGGUGAUGGAUUGAGGAUCUGGACUUUCGGCAACUCAACUCAACGCGACAGAAUGAUCGAAACGCUCACUCAUUACCUCGGAAGUCUCCGCACCUCGAGUCUGCUGGUUUUCAUCCCGCACAAGCUUGACCGUCUCGUAAAAGAAAAAAAAAGUUUUUAUAAGUCCUGAUGUGUUUCUUUGUAGCACUGUAGCAGGACAACGAGACCUCCGUGCUUACAUGAAGCUUUGUAGCGCCUCACCUUUUGUGGAAUGAAAGCCAGCAGAUGUUUAAGAGCAUACUGGGGGGGGGGGGGCUUUGACCCCUACAACGGAGGUGAUGUGGACAGACGUUUUUACUCUAUUUUGAACGGAACACUCGCACUAAGGUAAAAUCACAAUACUCCGCACCAAAAUUCUUUAUUUAUUCAUACUAGUCCGCCAUUUUUAAGAUGCAAUUGACAUGCUGAAGAAUAUCCUGCACAUUCACAUUCCUUAAAGUUUCCCAACAUUUCUUAUUCAUUGUUCAGCAUUUCAGUUCAGCGUCAGCACUGCAGUGUUCACAUUCCUUUUCUACAGGAAUCGCAUUUUCUAUUCUUUCGAUUUAAAAAUGGGUGCCAUUAUCAAUCUCUAACCAUACAUGUCAAGACCGUCAAACAGGGGCCCUCUGUACAGUAUGCGCCUGGACCAGAUCUCAAGCCCAUCAUCAAGCAGAUAGAGUAUAAACAAGGGCUUGGACUCCCAACAAACUCGGUGGCACCUGGACGUAUCACAUUAUCCCCUUACCCACAAAUCCUUGUGAAAUGGCGCCAAGAUAACCCGGAAAUGAUUAGGUUCCUGACGACCGCACCACGAGGACGACAAACUCUCAAAGACGCCCAGACUACCUUACUGGGGCGUAUUGUACACGGAAGUGUCAUGUGAAUUAGUUUCUUGAGUUAUUUGCGUGUCAACUUGAAGAUUAACUUUCAGAAAGGAAUGAUUAGAAUUAGUCCCGUACAUUUGUUUUACAAUUCUGCCUGUGUGAGGACAUGUGAAGGGAAUUUGUAAUGAAGCACGAAGAUAGUAAUAGAUAGACCAUGUUUGUUACUCUAUCACUGACGGCAGAUGUUUUUUCAUGUUGGUACUUCAAACCACUUUGUUGCUUUUAUUUACUUGACCACAAUGGCUCAUUUUGUGUGUGCAGGAGGAAUGGAACCGCAAGAGGGUGCAAGCUUCACACUUUGUUGAACAGGCAGUAGCGGAGAGAGAAUAAUUAAAGUGCCAACAGAAAACAUUACGUUUUAGGUGUAGUUUGCACUCUUUUAAACA